AUCGAACGCUGGCGGCAUGCCUAACACAUGCAAGUCGAACGAGUGGCGGACGGGUGAGUAUUGUCUGGGAAACUGCCCGCUUGAGGGGGAUAACUACUGGAAACGGUAGCUACUACCGCGUACCAUCGGAUUUGCCCAGAUGGGUUUAGCUUGUAGGUGAGGUAACGGCUCACCUAGGCGACGAUGCCUAGCUGGUCUGCGAGGAUGACCAGCCAAACGGGAACUGGGAAACGGUCCAAAUCCCAACGGAGGGAAGCAGUGGGAAAUAUUGGACAAGGGGCGCAAGCCUGAUGCGGCAAUGCCGCGUGUAUGAAGAAGGCCUUCGGGUUGUAAAGUACGUUCAGCGGGGAGGCGUUACCCGCAGAGGAAGCAACGGCUAACUCCGUGCCAGCAGCCGCGGUAAUUC
rnacentral:rRNA from 1 species